ensembl:snRNA U6 U6 spliceosomal RNA
GUGCUUCCUUCAGCAGCACGUGUACUAAAAUUGGAACAAUACAGAGAUUAGCAUGGCCCCUGUGCAAGGAUGACAUGCAAAUUUGUGAAGCGUUCCAUAUAUAA